rnacentral:rRNA from 1 species
AUUGAACGCUGGCGGCAGGCCUAACACAUGCAAGUCGAACGAGUGGCGGACGGGUGAGGAAUAUAUCGGAAUCUACGCUGUCGGGGGGGAUAACGUAGAGAAACUUACGCUAAUACCGCAUACGAUUGUAUGAGCCGAUGUCGGAUUAGCUAGUUGGCGGGGUAAAGGCCCACCAAGGCGACGAUCCGUACCUGGUCUGAGAGGAUGAUCAGCCACACUGGAAAUGAGACACGGUCCAGACUCCUACGGGAGGCAGCAGUGGGGAAUAUUGGACAAUGGGCGCAAGCCUGAUCCAGCCAUGCCGCGUGGAUGAAGAAGGCCUUCGGGUUGUAAAGCCCUUUUGUUGGGAAAGCGGUACCCAAAGAAUAAGCACCGGCUAACUUCGUGCCAGCAGCCGCGGUAAUUC